UAGUCAAUCAUGAUGUGCUCCUGUGUAAUCCCCCAAAUAGGGUGGGGGAGUUUCUACCUGCAGACCGUAAAUCUGCAGACCACAGGGGUGAGGAAGAAACCA
rnacentral:ncRNA from 23 species